rnacentral:rRNA from 1 species
UACGGGGGGGGGCAAGCGUUGUUCGGAAUUAUUGGGCGUAAAGGGUGCGUAGGCGGUCUGACAAGUCUGAUGUGAAAUCUAUGGGCUCAACCCAUAGUCUGCAUCGGAAACUGUCGGGCUUGAGUAUGGGAGAGGUGAGUGGAAUUUCCGGUGUAGCGGUGAAAUGCGUAGAUAUCGGAAGGAACACCUGUGGCGAAAGCGGCUCACUGGACCAUUACU